AUUUGAGUGCCUUAUUGGAAUGAUGUUGAGUCCACAUGUUCAGACAGACAGGAAGUGGCUGAUUAAAUCACCUUUAUUAAAAGAUACAAGAUGCUGGAAUACCAACACUUUAGAAUGCAGAAGUACUUUACACACAGGCCCAGGCUUGUGUCCAACAUGGCCCCUUAUUCACUAUAUAGUGCACUACUUUACACACAGGCCCAGGCUUGUGUCCAAUAUGGCCCCUUAUUCACUAUAUAGUGCACUACUUUACACACAGGCCCAGGCUUGUGUCCAAUAUGGCCCCUUAUUCACUAUAUAGUGCACUACUUUACACACAGGCCCAGGCUUGUGUCCAAUAUGGCCCCUUAUUCACUAUAUAGUGCACUACUUUACACACAGGCCCAGGCUUGUGUCCAAUAUGGCCCCUUAUUCACUAUAUAGUGCACUACUUUACACACAGGCCCAGGCUUGUGCCCAACCAAACUCACAUAGAGGCUGUAUCCAAUAUGGCCCCUUAUUCACCAUGUAGUGCACUACUUUAGACCAGAGCCCUAUUCCCUAUAUAGGGCACUACUUUAGACCAAAGCCCUAUUCCAUAUAUAGUGCACUACUUUAGACCAGAGCCCUAUUCCCUAUAUAGUGCACUACUUUAGACCAGAGCCUAAUUCCAUAUAUAGUGCACUACUUUAGACCAGAGCCCUAUUCCCUAGAUAGUGCACUACCUUUAACUACAGCAUUAUUCCAUAUAUAGUGCACUACUUUAGACCAGAGCCCUAUUCCCUAUAUAGUGCACAACAUUAUACUACAGCCCUAUUCCCUAUAUAGUGCACUACUUUAUACUACAGCCCUAUUCCCUAUAUAGUGCACUACUUUUAACCAGAGCCCUGAAUAGACCAGACACCUAAUCAUCUAUAUACAUCUUAAUCUAGCAUUGUGUUUCUCCUAUUAAUCACCCUGUGAAUGACUCUCUAUGGGUCCAGGUUAACACACUAUAAAGGGAACAGAAUGACUCUCUAUGGGUCCAGGUUAACACUCUAUAAGGGGAACAGAAUGACUCUCUAUGGGUCCAGGUUAACACACUAUAAAGGGGAACAGAAUGACUCUCUAUGGGUCCAGGUUAACACACUAUAAAGGGGAACAGAAUGACUCUCUAUGGGUCCAGGUUAACACUCUAUAAAGGGGAACAGAAUGACUCUCUAUGGGUCCAGGUUAACACACUAUAAAGGGAACAGAAUGACUCUCUAUGGGUCCAGGUUAACACUCUAUAAAGGGAACAGAAUGACUCUCUAUGGGUCCAGGUUAACACUCUAUAAGGGGAACAGAAUGACUCUCUAUGGGUCCAGGUUAACACAUUAUAAAGUGAAUAAGAGUCCAUUUGGAACACAGCCACAGUAGUAAUAACAAAGGUAUUUUUUGAUCAAAAUCCCUGUAAAUAUCUGCGGUAUCCUUGCCAACCCAUUUCAAUCUGCAGGUUGUUUUUUUCUUUUCAAAAUCACAACGUGACAGUAAACCAGUCUUUAAAGAAAAAAGAGAUCUGAAACCAUGCAACACUCAACAAGCCCACGUUACAGUUACUUCUGGGUUCGCCACCGUUUUGAAUGGCAUCAUCAAUAUCAUCAUCAUCAUCAUCAUCAUCAUCAUCAUCAUCAUCAAUAUCAUGAUCAUCGUCAUCAAUAUCAUGAUCAUCAUCAUCAAUAUCAUCAUCAUCAUCAUCAAUAUCAUGAUCAUCAUCAUCAAUAUCAUCAUCAUCAAUAUCAUGAUCAUCGUCAUCAAUAUCAUGAUCAUCAUCAUCAAUAUCAUCAUCAUCAUCAUCAAUAUCAUGAUCAUCAUCAUCAAUAUUAUCAUCAUCAAUAUCAUGAUCAUUAUCAAUAUCAUGAUCAUCAUCAACAAUAUCAUGAUCAUCAUCAAUAUCAUCAUCAUCAAUAUCAUGAUCAUCAUCAAUAUCAUGAUCAUCAUCAUCAUCAUCAAUAUCAUCAUCAUCAUCAUCAAUAUCAUCAUCAUCAACACUUACAACACCAUAAGACUUCACACAACAGUGACAAGGACGUUUUGACGUUUUUUUGGGGGGGGGAGACAGAAUCGAUCAAAUCUCGAAGACCUCAUCCACUGAGUUUCCAUGACAGGACAAAACGGGUCACGUCGUAGAUAGAACGGGGUUCUCUUCUGUUUCAUUAGUUCGUUACCCGAGUCCAUCGCUGCCUUUAGGCCUCAUGCUUGGUGUUAAAGGGGGACAGUGACGAGCAACAGAUAUACACUACACUUCAGCAAACUAACCACUGGCACCAAACACUAACCUGCUGCUCCCAGAUCAGUGUCUAACCUCCGUGUUGGCACCAAACACUAACCUGCAGCUCCCAGAUCA
ensembl:lncRNA